UACGGGGGGGGCAAGCGUUGUUCGGAAUUACUGGGCGUAAAGCGUGCGCAGGCGGCCUCUUAAGUCAGAUGUGAAAUCCCCGGGCUUAACCCAGGAACUGCGUCCGAUACUGGUUGGCUUGAAUCCGGGAGAGGGAUGUGGAAUUCCAGGUGUAGCGGUGAAAUGCGUAGAUAUCUGGAGGAACACCGGUGGCGAAGGCGACAUCCUGGACCGGUAUUGACGCUGAGGCGCGAAAGCCAGGGGAGCAAACGGG
rnacentral:rRNA from 1 species